rnacentral:rRNA from 1 species
CCUACGGGAGGCAGCAGUGGGGGAUAUUGCACAAUGGGGGGAACCCUGAUGCAGCGACGCCGCGUGGGUGAAGAAGCGCCUCGGCGCGUAAAGCCCUGUCAGCAGGGAAGAAAAUGACGGUACCUGAAGAAGAAGCCCCGGCUAACUACGUGCCAGCAGCCGCGGGAAUACGUAGGGGGCAAGCGUUAUCCGGAUUUACUGGGUGUAAAGGGGGCGCAGACGGCGAGGAAAGCCAGGAGUGAAAGCCCGGGGCCCAACCCCGGGACGGCUCGUGGAACUGCGUGGCUGGAGUGCAGGAGGGGCAGGCGGAAUUCCUGGUGUAGCGGUGAAAUGCGUAGAUAUCAGGAGGAACACCGGUGGCGAAGGCGGCCUGCUGGACUGCAACUGACGUUGAGGCCCGAAAGCGUGGGGAGCAAACAGGAUUAGAUACCCGAGUAGUC